AGAGUUUGAUCCUGGCUCAGGAUGAACGCUAGCUACAGGCUUAACACAUGCAAGUCGAGGGGAAACGACAUCGAAAGCUUGCUUUUGAUGGGCGUCGACCGGCGCACGGGUGAGUAACGCGUAUCCAACCUGCCCACCACUUGGGGAUAACCUUGCGAAAGUAAGACUAAUACCCAAUGAUAUCUCUAGAAGACAUCUGAAAGAGAUUAAAGAUUUAUCGGUGAUGGAUGGGGAUGCGUCUGAUUAGCUUGUUGGCGGGGUAACGGCCCACCAAGGCGACGAUCAGUAGGGGUUCUGAGAGGAAGGUCCCCCACAUUGGAACUGAGACACGGUCCAAACUCCUACGGGAGGCAGCAGUGAGGAAUAUUGGUCAAUGGACGAGAGUCUGAACCAGCCAAGUAGCGUGCAGGAUGACGGCCCUAUGGGUUGUAAACUGCUUUUAUAAGGGAAUAAAGUGAGUCUCGUGAGACUUUUUGCAUGUACCUUAUGAAUAAGGACCGGCUAAUUCCGUGCCAGCAGCCGCGGUAAUACGGAAGGUCCGGGCGUUAUCCGGAUUUAUUGGGUUUAAAGGGAGCGUAGGCCGGAGAUUAAGCGUGUUGUGAAAUGUAGAUGCUCAACAUCUGCACUGCAGCGCGAACUGGUUUCCUUGAGUACGCACAAAGUGGGCGGAAUUCGUGGUGUAGCGGUGAAAUGCUUAGAUAUCACGAAGAACUCCGAUUGCGAAGGCAGCUCACUGGAGCGCAACUGACGCUGAAGCUCGAAAGUGCGGGUAUCGAACAGGAUUAGAUACCCUGGUAGUCCGCACGGUAAACGAUGGAUGCCCGCUGUUGGUCUGAAUAGGUCAGCGGCCAAGCGAAAGCAUUAAGCAUCCCACCUGGGGAGUACGCCGGCAACGGUGAAACUCAAAGGAAUUGACGGGGGCCCG
rnacentral:rRNA from 1 species